rnacentral:rRNA from 1 species
UAAGGAAUAUUGGACAAUGGACGCAAGUCUGAUCCAGCCAUGCCGCGUGAAGGAUGAAUGCCCUCUGGGUUGUAAACUUCUUUUACAGGGGAAGAAAGUUAUCUUUUUUAGGAUAUUUGACGGUACCCUAUGAAUAAGCACCGGCUAACUCCGUGCCAGCAGCCGCGGUAAUACGGAGGGUGCAAGCGUUAUCCGGAUUCACUGGGUUUAAAGGGUGCGUAGGCGGGUAUGUAAGUCAGUGGUGAAAUACCGGAGCUUAACUUCGGAACUGACAUUGAUACUAUAUAUCUUGAAUAUUGUGGAGGGAAGCGGAAUAUGUCAUGUAGCGGUGAACUGCUUAGGGAUGACAUAAAACACCGAUUGCGAAGACAGCUUGCUACGCAAAUAUUGACGCUGAGGCACGAAAGCGUGGGGAUCAAACAGG